UACGAUGGGGGCUAGCGUUGUUCGGAAUUACUGGGCGUAAAGCGCACGUAGGCGGAUACUUAAGUCAGGGGUGAAAUCCCGGGGCUCAACCCCGGAACUGCCUUUGAUACUGGGUAUCUCGAGUCCGGAAGAGGUGAGUGGAAUUCCGAGUGUAGAGGUGAAAUUCGUAGAUAUUCGGAGGAACACCAGUGGCGAAGGCGGCUCACUGGUCCGGUACUGACGCUGAGGUGCGAAAGCGUGGGGAGCAAACAGG
rnacentral:rRNA from 1 species